rnacentral:rRNA from 1 species
UACGGGGGAGCAAGCGUUGUUCGGAUUUACUGGGCGUAAAGGGCGCGUAGGCGGCCACCGCAAGUCGACUGUGAAAUCUCCGGGCUUAACCCGGAAAGGUCAGCCGAUACUGCGGGCUAGAGUGCAGAAGGGCAACUGGGAAUUCUCGGUGUAGCGGUGAAAUGCGUAGAUAUCGAGAGGAACACCUGCGGCGAAGGCGGGUUGCUGGGCUGACACUGACGCUGAGGAGCGAAAGCCAGGGAGCAAACGGG